rnacentral:rRNA from 1 species
UACGUAGGCCCCGAGCGUUGUCCGGAUUUAUUGGGCGUAAAGCGAGCGCAGGUGGUUUAUUAAGUCUGGUGUAAAAGGCAGUGGCUCAACCAUUGUAUGCAUUGGAAACUGGUAGACUUGAGUGCAGGAGAGGAGAGUGGAAUUCCAUGUGUAGCGGUGAAAUGCGUAGAUAUAUGGAGGAACACCGGUGGCGAAAGCGGCUCUCUGGCCUGUAACUGACACUGAGGCUCGAAAGCGUGGAGAGCAAACAGG